GGGCCGGUAGCUCAGCUGGUUAGAGCACUGCUCUGAUAAAGCAGAGGCCGAUGGUUCGAGUCCAUCUCGGCCCA
rnacentral:tRNA from 1 species